AGUCGAACGGAAACGAUGGAAGCUUGCUUCCAGGCGUCGAGUGGCGGACGGGUGAGUAACGCGUAGGAAUCUGCCUGAUAGUGGGGGAUAGCCCGGAGAAAUCCGGAUUAAUACCGCAUAGUCUAUUCGUAGUAAAGGGGGCCUCUAUUUAUAAGCUCUCGCUAUCAGAUGAGCCUGCGUCAGAUUAGCUUGUUGGUGAGGUAAAAGCUCACCAAGGCAACGAUCUGUAGCUGGUCUGAGAGGAUGAUCAGCCACACUGGGACUGAGACACGGCCCAGACUCCUACGGGAGGCAGCAGUGGGGAAUAUUGGACAAUGGGGGCAACCCUGAUCCAGCAAUGCCGCGUGUGUGAAGAAGGCCUGAGGGUUGUAAAGCACUUUCAAUUGUGAAGAAAGGUUAAUAGUUAAUACCUAUUGACUGUGACGUUAACUUUAGAAGAAGCACCGGCUAACUCCGUGCCAGCGGCCGCGGUAAUACGGAGGGUGCAAGCGUUAAUCGGAAUUACUGGGCGUAAAGCGUGCGUAGGUGGUUGUUUAAGUCAGAUGUGAAAGCCCCGGGCUUAACCUGGGAACUGCAUUUGAAACUGGACAACUAGAGUAUAGUAGAGGAAAGUAGAAUUUCUGGUGUAGCGGUGAAAUGCGUAGAUAUCAAAAGGAAUACCGAUGGCGAAGGCAGCUUUCUGGACUAAUACUGACACUGAGGUACGAAAGCGUGGGUAGCAAACAGGAUUAGAUACCCUGGUAGAAGGGC
rnacentral:rRNA from 1 species